UUUAAAUGUAAAAUAAAUAUACUAAAGUAGUAUUAGUUAUGUUCUUGAAAUUUAAAGAUUUUGGCGGUAUUUUAGUCUAUUUAGAGGAGCCUGUUCUAUAAUUGAUAAUCCACGAUUAAUUUUACUUAAUUUAUAUAAAUUUGUAUACCGUCGUUAUAAGAAGAUUUUAAAAGAAAAUAAAUUUUUAAUAGUUUAUAUAAAAAAAUAUAUCAGAUCAAGGUGCAGUUUAUAGUUAAGAAGAAAUGGGCUACAAUAAAUUUAUUUAUAUGAAUUAAAGUGAGAAUUUAACUUUAUGAAAGUGGAUUUAAUAGUAAUAAAAUUAAUUUUAAUUUUAUGAUUUUAGCUCUAAAAUAUGU
rnacentral:rRNA from 1 species